rnacentral:rRNA from 1 species
AUGAUGUUCUAUCCAAUCCUUCUCAUACUUCUGUACAUGUCCAACAUUCUUGCAAAUAAAGUUCAAUCUUUUACCUGUGAUCUGGUUCUAGUCAGUAGCUAUAAGUUUGUUGCUAUGAUAUACUGCGACUUGACACAUAAUCGCAUUUGGCUCAUAAUUCACUAUACAACCUUUUGGAUUCAGUAUGAACUAGAAUGCCUAGAGACUGAGCCCUGCCACCUUUAUGAGACAAGAAUGCCAUUUACACUUUCUACUUUCUAUAUGACAAUUCAGCCCUAUGGUGGCACAAAUUUGGAAAGCUACAAGUCAAGGGAGCCUAAAAAACUUUGCACAUGGUUUUCAUGGGCUUUUUACACCCUGUUGGCUUCAGUAGGAUCUGUAAUGCACUGA